UACAGAGGUGGCAAGCGUUGUUCGGAAUUACUGGGCGUAAAGGGCGCGUAGGCGGCCUCGCAAGUCCCGUGUGAAAUCCCUCGGCUCAACUGAGGAAUGGCACGGGAAACUGCGGGGCUUGAGUUCGGGAGAGGGAAGCGGAAUUCCGGGUGUAGCGGUGAAAUGCGUAGAUAUCCGGAGGAACACCGGUGGCGAAGGCGGCUUGCUGGGCCAGUUCUGACGCUGAGGAGCGAAAGCGUGGGGAGCGAACAGG
rnacentral:rRNA from 1 species